UAGGGAAUCUUCCACAAUGGACGCAAGUCUGAUGGAGCAACGCCGCGUGAGUGAAGAAGGUUUUCGGACCGUAAAGCUCUGUUGUUGGUGAAGAAGGAUAGAGGUAGUAACUGGCCUUUAUUUGACGGUAAUCAACCAGAAAGUCACGGCUAACUACGUGCCAGCAGCCGCGGUAAUACGUAGGUGGCGAGCGUUGUCCGGAUUUAUUGGGCGUAAAGCGAGCGCAGGCGGAAGAAUAAGUCUGAUGUGAAAGCCCUCGGCUUAACCGAGGAAUUGCAUCGGAAACUGUUUUUCUUGAGUGCAGAAGAGGAGAGUAGAACUCCAUGUGUAGCGGUGGAAUGCGUAGAUAUAUGGAAGAAUACCAGUGGCGAAGGCGGCUCUCUGGUCUGCAACUGACGCUGAGGCUCGAAAGCAUGGGUAGCGAACAGGAUUAGAUACCCUGGUAGUCCAUGCCGUAAACGAUGAGUGCUAAGUGUUGGGAGGCUUCCGCCUCUCAGUGCUGCAGCUAACGCAUUAAGCACUCCGCCUGGGGGAGUACGACCGCAAGGUUGAAAC
rnacentral:rRNA from 1 species